GUAGGGUCCGAGCGUUGUCCGGAAUUACUGGGCGUAAAGCGCGCGCAGGCGGUCGGGUUCGUCGCUGGUGAAAGCCCCACGCUCAACGUGGGAAGGUCCAGCGAGACAGCCCGACUGGAGGCAGGGAGAGGUCGGUGGAAUUCCGGGUGUAGUGGUGAAAUGCGUAGAGAUCCGGAGGAACACCAGAGGCGAAGGCGGCCGACUGGACCUGACCUGACGCUGAGGCGCGAAGGCGUGGGGAGCGAACGGGAUUAGAUACCCCGGUAGUCCACGCGGUAAACGAUGUGCACUGGGUAUGGCGGGAGUUGACCCCUGCCGUGCCGGCGCUAACGCAGGAAGUGCACCGCCUGGGGAGUACGGCCGCAAGGCUAAA
rnacentral:rRNA from 1 species